rnacentral:sRNA from 1 species
AUUAAUUAUUAUAGUAUAUAAGAUUAUAAAUUUUCAAUAUAAUAUGUAUGAAAUUGAAUAUAAAUAUUUCAAAUUAUGACCCGUUACUCAGUAGAAAGUUUUCUUAAAUCUAUUUUUCACUCUUUAUAAUAUUUUUUCAUGUAUUGAACAGUUUAUAUUCGUUUUUUAAAAAUUCAAAUUAUGGCAUAUGCGAAAAAACUCUAAUUAUUUUUUUAUAGUGAUGAUAUUAUUUUUUCGCAAAAAUAGAAUCAUAGUGAGAAGUGAACUAUAAUAAUUAAUAAAAACUUAAUAUAAUAAUUUAGAUAUAAAAUCUAAUUUGUUGAUUU